rnacentral:rRNA from 1 species
GACGAACGCUGGCGGCGUGCUUAACACAUGCAAGUCGAACGGAAAGGCCCUGCUUUUGUGGGGGGCUCGAGUGGCGAACGGGGGAGUAACACGUGAGUAACCUGCCCUUGACUUUGGGAUAACUUCAGGAAACUGGGGCUAAUACCGGAUAGGAGCUCCUGCUGCAUGGUGGGGGUUGGAAAGUUUCGGCGGGUGGGGAUGGACUCGCGGCUUAUCAGCUUGUUGGUGGGGUAGUGGCUUACCAAGGCUUUGACGGGUAGCCGGCCUGAGAGGGUGACCGGCCACAUUGGGACUGAGAUACGGCCCAGACUCCUACGGGAGGCAGCAGUGGGGAAUAUUGCACAAUGGGCGGAAGCCUGAUGCAGCAACGCCGCGUGCGGGAUGACGGCCUUCGGGUUGUAAACCGCUUUCGCCUGUGACGAAGCGUGAGUGACGGUAAUGGGUAAAGAAGCACCGGCUAACUACGUG